CACACCGACGACUCCCACUUCUCCAUGGUAGCUACGUGGGCGUGUCUAUGUGAGCGACACCCGUAAAAUAUAUUUUAAAUUGAUAUGUGUGCUAGUAGGAUGGUAACACUGUUUAAGAGAUACUUGUGAUAAACUCGUUUAUUAUACAAGCAUUAAAUAUUCAAUAUAUUACUUGGUAGUACAUGUCAAAAUAACAUUUAUAGAAACUGCAAAUCUAAUAUCUGCCAAUGUCGGUGAAGGAUACAAAAAGUGUUCAUGUAAAGAAAAAUGUAAUACCAAUCGGUGUAAGUGUAAAUCAUCUAGCAAUUUUUGCAAUUCGAAAUGUCAUGGAAGCACACCAUAUAAUAAUAAAGGAUAGUAUUAAGGAAAGUAGUAGAUAACUCGUUAAAAAUAUAUUCAUAUUGUUUAAUAAUAAUAAUAAUUAUAAUAAUUU